rnacentral:rRNA from 1 species
AUGGUCUACUCCAAAACCAUAGCUUGCAUGUUCACCAUGCUGCUCCUUGCUCCGGCCAUCAUGGCCACGGACCCUGACCCUCUCCAGGACUUCUGUGUGGCCGACCUCGACGACAACGCAGUCCGGGUGAACGGAUACCCGUGCGUGCCCCAGUCGGAAGCCGGCGACGACUUCCUCUUCUCCUCCAAGCUAGCCAGGGGCGGCAACACGUCCACCCCGAACGGCUCGGCCGUGACGAGGCUGGACGUGACGGAGUUCCCCGGCGAGAACACGCAGGGUAUCUCCAUGAACCGCGUGGACUUCGCGCCCGGGGGCACCAACCCGCCGCACAUCCACCCGCGCGCCACCGAGAUCGGCCUCGUGGUGAAAGGCGAGCUCCUCGUGGGCAUCAUCGGCAGCAACGAGUCCGGGAACAGGCUCUACUCCAGGGUGGUGCGCGCCGGCGAGAACUUCCUCAUCCCGCGCGGCCUCAUGCACUUCCAGUUCAACACCGGCGACACUGUGGCCACCAUGUUUGUCUCCUUCAACAGCCAGAACCCCGGCAUCGUCUUCGUGCCGCUCACGCUCUUCGGCUCCGACCCGCCCAUCCCCACGCCGGUGCUCACUAGGGCUCUCCGGGUGGACGCCGGGGUGGUCGAACUUCUCAAGUCCAGGUUCGCCGGUGGGUCUU